UCCUACGGGAGGCAGCAGUGGGGAAUAUUGGACAAUGGGGGGAACCCUGAUCCAGCCAUGCCGCGUGUGUGAAGAAGGCCUUUUGGUUGUAAAGCACUUUAAGUGGGGAGGAGGCUUACCUGGUUAAUACCUGGGCUAAGUGGACGUUACCCACAGAAUAAGCACCGGCUAACUCCGUGCCAGCAGCCGCGGUAAU
rnacentral:rRNA from 1 species